rnacentral:tRNA from 1 species
UAUGAAAUGCCUGAUUAAAGGAUUAUUAUGAUAGAAUAAAUUAUGUGGAAAUUCCACUUUCAUUG